rnacentral:rRNA from 1 species
GAUGAACGCUGGCGGCGUGCCUAACACAUGCAAGUCGAGCGAACGCACGAUAAGCUCUCUUUUCUGAUGUUAGCGGCGGACGGGCGAGUAAGACGUGCAUAACCUACUUCUUUUACUUGGAUAACUUCGGGAAACCACUUCUACUACCAGCUCAUACUUCCAACCGCAGGGAUCAAAAGUUCAUGACGGCUUUCCCGUCACUUUUAGCUGGUGCCGCGUUGGAUUAGCUAGUUGGUAAGGUAACGGCUAACCAAGGCGACGAUGCGUAGCCGAACUGAGAGGAUGAUCGGCCACACUGGAACUGAGACACGGUCCAGACUCCUACGGGAGGCAGCAGUGGGGAAUAUUGCGCAAUGGGCGAAAGCCUGAUCCAGCAAUACCGCGUGGGUGAAGAAGGUCUUCGGGUCGUAAAGCUCUGUUGUUGGGGAAGAACAGAUGUGUAUGUAUCUGUGGACAUCUUGACGGUACCUAAACAGAAAGCCCCGGCUAACUACGUG